rnacentral:rRNA from 1 species
UGGCUCAGAGCGAACGCUGGCGGCAGGCCUAACACAUGCAAGUCGAACGCACCUUCGGGUGAGUGGCGGACGGGUGAGUAACACGUGGGAACGUACCUUUUGGUUCGGAAUAACGCAGGGAAACUUGUGCUAAUACCGAAUGUGCCCUUCGGGGGAAAGAUUUAUCGCCAUUAGAGCGGCCCGCGUUAGAUUAGCUAGUUGGUGAGGUAAAGGCUCACCAAGGCUACGAUCUAUAGCUGGUCUGAGAGGAUGAUCAGCCACAUUGGGACUGAGACACGGCCCAAACUCCUACGGGAGGCAGCAGUGGGGAAUCUUGCGCAAUGGGCGAAAGCCUGACGCAGCCAUGCCGCGUGAAUGAUGAAGGUCUUAGGAUUGUAAAAUUCUUUCAGUAGGGACGAUAAUGACGGUACCUACAGAAGAAG